AUUGAACGCUGGCGGCAGGCCUAACACAUGCAAGUCGAACGAGUGGCGGACGGGUGAGUAAUGUCUGGGAAACUGCCUGAUGGAGGGGGAUAACUACUGGAAACGGUCGCUACUACCGCAUACCAUCAGAUGUGCCCAUAUGGGGUUAGCUUGUUGGAGGGGUAACGGCUCACCAAGGCGACGAUCCCUAGCUGGUCUGAGAGGAUGACCAGCCAAACUGGAACUGAGACACGGUCAAGACUCGUACGGGAGGAAGCAGUGGGGAAGAGUGCGCAAUGGGCGCAAGGCUGAUGCAGCCAGGACGCGUGUAUGAAGAAGGCGUGAGGGUUGCAAAGUACUUUCAGCGGGGAGGCGUUACCUGCAGAAGAAGCACCGGCUAACUACGUGCCAGCAGCCGCGGUAAUUC
rnacentral:rRNA from 1 species